GACGAACGCUGGCGGCGUGCUUAACACAUGCAAGUCGAACGGAAAGGCCCUGCUUUUGUGUGGUGCUCGAGUGGCGAACGGGUGAGUAACACGUGAGUAACCUGCCCUUUACUUUGGGAUAACUUCAGGAAACUGGGGCUAAUACCGGAUAGGUGCUCCUGCUGCAUGGUGGGGUUUGGAAAGCUUCGGUGGUUGGGGAUGGACUCGCGGGUUACGAGCUUGUUGGUGGGGUAGUUGCUUACCCAGGCUUCGGCGGGUAGCCGGCCUGGGAGGGUGGCCGGGGUCAAUGGGACUGAGAGAGGGAGCAGACUGGAAUGGGAGGCAGCAGGGGGAAAUAUGGCACAACGGGCGGAAGCCUGUGGCAAAAGCGCCGGGAGCGGGAUGAAGGCCUUCGGGGUGUAAACCGCUGUAGCCUGUGACGAAGCGUGAGUGACGGUAAUGAGUAAAGAAGCACCGGCUAACUACGUG
rnacentral:rRNA from 1 species